ensembl:lncRNA
CACAUCUCCUGACGUUUUCAGAAAUAAAACUGAAAUGACUGAAAAGUCUCACUGGCAAAACACAAGAUCCCAAGAGUGCUGCUUGUAUAAAGUGCAUCAUUUUAUAUUUUACUGUAUAAAAUAUACAGUGAUCAACUAAAAGAGAAUAUAAAUCAACUUCAGGGUGAUAACAGUGACUCCACAGUCGGUUUUAUGCAUUACACAUUCAUGUUCACACUGUAAACAUUCUGUGCAGUGGUGUAUUUAUAGACGCUUCAUUUGUUCAUUGUUUCCCAGAAACGCAGCCUGAGCCCUAAAAGUGAAAGUAAAAGUACCAGAUAAAAAACAAGCUGUGGUUUUCAUUUUGUCCACCAACGAAUUCAGUCCAGAGCGUGUAACUCGGCUGAGAUCCCCCUUCAAAAUGACCCAAGCGAUAAUCAGAUUUUUUGUCAUGGUCCUUGGGAACACCAUGAAUUCCCACAAGACCUUCAUGGAGCGUCUGACAAUUUCACAAAAACUUCGUGAAGUGAAGUCGGUGAACAACAGUGAUGUCAUCAUUGCUUUUGUCCCAGUUGUGUCUCGAGCUGGAACUGACAUUGGAGCUGCAAUGGCCAAAAUUCCUCAGGGUAAGCCUGUCGUUUUUGUGGCGCUCCACCACACGUUUAAUCUAGAUGAAAUUGUUCCAGACAGCAGACUCUGUGUAAACACAGACAGAGUGUUUGCUGUAGAUUGUCUCUUUCAUGAAGACCAAGGUCUGCUGAAUUGCCUGCGCAAUGACGACGCGAUCAGAGCCAUGAAGAAGCACCUGAGAUGCGACGACCACAUUGAGGACCACUCCAGCUGUGCAAGCCCUGGUGGGCUCAAACUACGUAAAUCCGAUGCAGAAACUGGGGGGGCGAUCCACCCUCAAUUUCCAAGCCAUGGUGCGUCACACGCCCCUGCUGACUUCCGAAGUUACAACAACGUAAAUAUGAUGCAGAAACUGGGGGGGCGAUCCACCCUCAAUUUCCAAGGCAUGGGUGCGGACAAGGCCGAAUUUAUUCCUUGGUUAUGCGCCGUGCUGAGCAGCUUUCUUUUUUACUUUGUUCUGCCAGAAGGGUACAGCUUCUUCCACUUCUUAAUUUUGGAGAUAUUUCUGAUGAUCAUAUCUGGGUCCCUGAGGUACUACAGCAAGUAUCUCAAAAAUAGCAAAUACCACCUUGGGAAGUGGACUCCUUGGAUUUUUACUGGUAUGAACGUUGUCCUCAUGCUUGUCACAUAGUCCCUCCGAGGAGUCUGUGCAUGAGUUGAAUAAUGCCACUGAACACAGUCAAAACAUGUGAUACGGAUAAUAUUGCUUUGCCUGAUAUUGUGGUAUGUGGUUUAGAAAACUUGUUAAUAUUAAAUAAACACUUCUCUGUUCAAUAAUAAACUAUAGGAAUGGGGACAAAAAUGUGUUCAUUUGUGGUUUUGUUAAAAGUUCAAAUUAAAAGAAGUGAAUUCAGGAUUAAUAGAAAGAUUUGAUUUAAGAUUAAAUUAAAAAUAAA